AUUGUUGAGCGCGCUGGGCCCCGCCGGCGAUGCCCCGCGCCGCCUCCUCGGAGCGGCGGCGAAGUUUGAACUUGGCGUCGGCCUGGAGCCGCGAGCAGCCCGGGGGCGGCGGCCGCGAGGCGAGCGGCGAUGAGAUGUGUGCCCAGACCCAGGCCAUGCAGAUACUAGUGCCUCUAACUUCGUCAGCCCAGAACACCUCACCUCUGGCCCCCAGCACAGGAAAGCAGCGUGGUCAGGAGGCGUUAAACUUCGGCUGAAGCACAGGCGCAGUGAGCCUGCAGGCCGACCUCACUCGUGGCACACAACUAAAUCUGGGGAGAAGCAACCCGAUGCCAGCAUGAUGCAGAUAUCUCAGGGUAUGAUCGGCCCUCCUUGGCACCAAAGCUACCAUUCCAGCUCCUCUACUAGUGACCUCUCCAACUAUGACCAUGCCUAUCUAAGGCGGAGCCCUGACCAGUGCAGCUCCCAGGGGAGCAUGGAGAGCCUGGAGCCCAGUGGGGCAUACCCACCCUGUCAUCUUUCCCCUGCCAAGUCCACCGGCAGCAUUGACCAGCUCAGCCACUUCCAUAACAAGAGAGACUCCGCUUACAGCUCUUUCUCCACCAGUUCUAGCAUCCUAGAGUAUCCACACCCUGGCAUCUCUGCCCGGGAGCGUUCAGGCUCUGUGGACAAUACUUCUGCUCGAGGUGGCCUCCUCGAAGGGAUGAGGCAGGCAGAUAUUCGCUAUGUCAAGACAGUCUAUGACACCCGGAGGGGAGUCUCAGCAGAGUAUGAGGUGAACUCUUCAGCCCUGCUGCUUCAAGGUAGGGAGGCCCGAGCCUCAGCAGAUGGUCAGGGCUAUGAUAAAUGGUCUAAUAUUCCUCGGGGCAAGGGAGUGCCACCCCCAUCCUGGAGCCAGCAGUGCCCCAGUUCCUUGGAGACUGCCACGGACAACCUUCCUCCUAAGGUGGGUGCACCCCUGCCUCCAGCUCGGAGUGACAGUUACGCAGCAUUUCGGCACCGUGAACGGCCCAGCUCCUGGUCUAGCCUUGAUCAGAAACGGCUCUGCCGGCCUCAGGCAAACUCUUUAGGCUCCCUGAAGUCUGCAUUCACAGAGGAGCAGCUGCAUACUGUGCUGGAGAAGAGUCCAGAGAACAGCCCCCCGGUGAAGCCCAAGCAUAACUAUACCCAGAAGGCCCAACCUGGCCAACCUCUGCUGCCGACCAGCAUCUACCCCGUACCUUCCCUGGAGCCACACUUUGCCCAGGUGCCUCAGCCUUCUGUGAGUAGCAACGGUAUGCUCUAUCCUGCACUGGCCAAGGAGAGUGGAUACAUAGCCCCUCAGGGAGCAUGCAACAAGAUGGCUACCAUUGAUGAGAAUGGGAACCAGAAUGGAUCUAGCAGGCCUGGGUUUGCCUUCUGCCAGCCCUUAGAACAUGACUUGCUGUCCCCGGUGGAGAAGAAACCAGAAGCUACAGCCAAGUAUGUCCCCUCCAAAGUCCAUUUCUCUUCAGUGCCUGAAAAUGAGGAGGAUGCCUCCCUGAAGAGACAUCUCACACCUCCCCAAGGCAACAGCCCACAUUCCGAUGAGAGAAAGAGCACCCACAGCAACAAACCAUCUUCUCAUCCCCACAGCCUCAAAUGCCCUCAGGCUCAGGCCUGGCAAGCGGGUGAAGACAAGAGAUCUUCCAGGCUCUCAGAGCCCUGGGAGGGCGAUUUUCAGGAAGACCACAAUGCCAACCUCUGGAGGAGGCUGGAGAGAGAAGGCCUAGGCCAGAGCCUGUCAGGCAACUUUGGCAAGACCAAGUCAGCCUUCUCAUCUCUCCAGAACAUUCCUGAGAGUGUGAGAAGACACAGCAGCCUGGAGCUGGGCCGGGGAGCCCAGGAGGGUUACCCCGGGGGCAGGCCCACCUGUGUAGUCAACACCAAGGCAGAAGACCCUGGGAGGAAAGCCGCUCCUGACCUCGGGAGCCAUCUGGACCGGCAGGUGUCCUACCCGCGGCCCGAGGGGAGGACCGGUGCCUCGGGUUCUUUCAACAGCACAGACCCAAGGCCCGAAGAGCCGCCUGCCCCGUCGCACCCGCACACAUCCAGCCUGGGGCGGAGGGGGCCUGGCCCAGGCAGCGCCUCCGCUCUUCAGGGCUUUCAGUACGGGAAGCCCCACUGCUCGGUGCUGGAGAAGGUCUCCAAAUUCGAGCAGCGAGAGCAAGGGAGCCAGAGACCGAGUGUGGGCGGCUCCGGUUUUGGCCAUAACUAUAGGCCCCACAGGACCGUCUCAACUUCCAGUACUUCUGGGAAUGACUUCGAGGAGACAAAAGCACACAUCCGUUUCUCUGAGUCAGCUGAACCCCUAGGCAACGGGGAGCAGCACUUCAAAAACGGGGAGCUGAAGUUGGAAGAGGCUUCCCGGCAGCCCUGCGGUCAGCAGCUGAGCGGAGGAGCGUCGGACAGCGGCCGUGGCCCCCAGAGGCCGGACGCUCGGCUCCUCCGUAGCCAGAGCACCUUCCAGCUCUCCAGUGAGCCAGAGAGGGAGCCCGAGUGGCGGGACAGGCCCCGCUCGCCCGAGUCGCCCCUGCUGGAUGCCCCCUUCAGCCGCGCCUACCGGAACAGCAUCAAGGACGCACAGUCCCGUGUCUUGGGGGCCACCUCCUUUCGACGUCGGGACCUGGAGCUGGGGGCGCCCGUGGCGUCGAGGUCCUGGCGGCCACGGCCUUCCUCGGCCCACGUGGGGCUGCGGAGCCCCGAGGCGCCGGCCUCCGCCUCCCCGCACACGCCCCGGGAGCGGCACAGCGUGACCCCUGCCGAGGGCGACCUGGCCAGGCCGGUGCCCCCUGCCGCCCGGAGAGGAGCUCGCCGGCGCCUGACUCCCGAGCAGAAGAAGCGCUCCUACUCGGAGCCCGAGAAGAUGAACGAGGUGGGAGUCGUGGAGGAGGCCGAAGCGGCACCCGUGGGCCCGCAGAGAAAUGGGAAGUGUUUCCCGGAGAGCAGCGUGGCCGACCGGCGCCGUCUGUUUGAGCGCGAUGGCAAGGCUUGCUCCACGCUCAGCCUGUCUGGGCCCGAGCUGAAGCAGUUCCAGCAGAGCGCCCUGGCCGACUACAUCCAGCGCAAGACCGGCAAGCGGCCUACCUCCGCCGCCGGCUGCAGCCUCCAGGAGCCUGGGCCACUGCGCGAGCGCGCCCAGAGUGCCUACCUCCAGCCCGGCCCCGCGGCGCUCGAAGGCUCUGGCCUCGCCUCGGCCUCCAGCUUGAGCUCGCUGCGGGAGCCCAGCCUGCAGCCCCGCAGGGAGGCCACGCUCCUGCCAGCCACGGUUGCAGAAACCCAGCAGGCUCCCCGAGAUCGCAGCAGCUCCUUCGCCGGUGGCCGCCGCCUCGGGGAACGGCGACGCGGGGACUCGCAGGUCCCAAGGGACCUGCUUAGCGGAGCAAAUGGUGGAACAAGGGGCACCCUGAGAGUGGAUGAGACCCCCAGGGAACCAUCCUCCUGGGGGGCCAGGGCCGGGAAGUCCAUGUCGGCCGAGGACCUGCUGGAACGCUCGGACGUCCUCGCGGGCCCUGUCCACGUGAGGUCCAGGUCAUCUCCCGCCACCGCAGACAAACGCCAGGUACGUGCAACCAGCAGGUCCUGGCCUCGGACUGUCCCUUCCUCCCUAGAAGCUUUAGUGGGGCUCCCCAACCCCCCACACUCUCACCCCCUCUCCCAGUUCAGUUUUCCUUGUGAUUACAGAAAAGUAGCAUUUGUUUUCAUGAGUUGAGUUUCUCAAGUGUCCCUUACCUGGUUUCCUUACAAAGAUAUAGGUAUCUAGAUU
rnacentral:sRNA from 1 species